rnacentral:rRNA from 1 species
UACGUAGGGUGCGAGCGUUGUUCGGAAUCAUUGGGCGUAAAGCGCGUGCAGGCGGCCUGUUAAGUCUGAUGUGAAAGCCCGGGGCUCAACCCCGGAAGUGCAUUGGAUACUGGCAGGCUAGAGGGCGAGAGAGGAAGGUGGAAUUCCAGGUGUAGGGGUGAAAUCCGUAGAUAUCUGGAGGAAUACCGAAGGCGAAGGCAACCUUCUGGCUCGCAUCUGACGCUGAGACGCGAAAGCGUGGGUAGCAAACAGG